ACGGUCUCAAAAUGUCUAUAUCCACGACCGAGACAGACAAUUUCAAACCAGUCCAUACCCUCGUUUCCUCCCCGGUCACCAUAGUCUUGACCGGUAGUCUUCUCUUCAUCAUUUUCACGGGGUUCUUCUCCUUCUUCUUCUGU
rnacentral:sRNA from 1 species